AUUGGACGCUGGCGGCAUGCUUUACACAUGCAAGUCGAACGGCAGCGCGGGCUUCGGCCUGGCGGCGAGUGGCGAACGGGUGAGUAAUACAUCGGAACGUGCCCAGUAGUGGGGGGUAGCUCGGCGAAAGCCGGAUUAAUACCGCAUACGACCUGAGGGUGAAAGCGGGGGAUCUUCGGACCUCGCGCUAUUGGAGCGGCCGAUGGCGGAUUAGCUAGUUGGUGGGGUAAAGGCCUACCAAGGCGACGAUCUGUAGCUGGUCUGAGAGGACGACCAGCCACACUGGAACUGAGACACGGCCCAGACUCCUACGGGAGGCAGCAGUGGGGAAUUUUGGACAAUGGGCGAAAGCCUGAUCCAGCAAUGCCGCGUGUGUGAUGAAGGCCUUCGGGUUGUAAAGCACUUUUGGCGGGAACGAAAAGGACUGUGCCAAUACCACGGUUCGAUGACGGUACCCGCAGAAUAAGCACCGGCUAACUACGUG
rnacentral:rRNA from 1 species